AGACUUUGAUUCUGGCUCAGAACGAACGCUGGCGGCAGGCCUAACACAUGCAAGUCGAACGCCCCGCAAGGGGAGUGGCAGACGGGUGAGUAACGCGUGGGAACCUUCCCAAUGGUGCGGAAUAGCCCAGGGAAACUUGGAGUAAUACCGCAUAAGCCCUUAGGGGGAAAGAUUUAUCGCCAUUGGAUGGGCCCGCGUCGGAUUAGCUAGUUGGUAGGGUAACGGCCUACCAAGGCGACGAUCCGUAGCUGGUUUGAGAGAAUGACCAGCCACACUGGGACUGAGACACGGCCCAGACUCCUACGGGAGGCAGCAGUGGGGAAUCUUGGACAAUGGGCGAAAGCCUGAUCCAGCCAUGCCGCGUGAGUGACGAAGGCCUUAGGGUUGUAAAGCUCUUUUGCCGGGGACCAUAAUGACGGUACCCGGAGAAAAAGUUCCCGGCUAACUUCGUGCCAGCAGCCGCGGUUAAACAAAAGGGACUA
rnacentral:rRNA from 1 species